CUGCCACCUCCGCCGACGCUUCGUUCGACGCCACCGCCCUUGCCGCCAGCGUCGCUUUCUACCGCAUUUUUCCUCCAAUUGUAGCCUUCUACCCUUUUCGAUCAAAUCUGCUCUUGGAUAACUCACGAAUUGUCGGCUCAUAGUUUUCGAUGCACCGCCUUCUCUCCAUUCUCUCAAUUCCUCUGCUAUUGAUUUUAUUUUCUUCUCCCUCAUGUUCUUCUCUCGCCUGCCCCGUCUCUCUUUCUCGUCUUCUUUUGUAUAAUUUCCUUUCUAGUUUUUCUUUCAUUACUUCCAUGUACUUGGUAUUGGUGACUUCAAUUUCUGUUCAAACUUCCUGUUUUAAAUUUUCCUUCAUCACAUUCUAUUUGGCCCACCAAUUA
rnacentral:lncRNA from 1 species